ACACACUUCGCUUCUUUCACUUCUUCUUUUGGUUCCAUCUCUAUUUAAAAAGUAUAGUCUUUUUUUUUUUAACUUGCUGGAUGUGGAAAAAAAUGCAUGGUAAAAAAAAAAUUUAAAGACAUAUUUUAAUUUUAUAUUUCAAAGGUUUGUAAUAGCAGUUUGUUUGUUAAAAACAGGCCUUAGCACAUGGAUGAGAACCAGGGCUUUUUCAAAAGCCUCAUCUUUGAGCUCUUACCCAAAUGAUAAAGACCUCUUGGAUCUUUCAAACUGUAAAUAUUGUGUAGUUUAAAAAAAAAAAAAGGCUAACUUCUUUUUUAAGAAAAAAAAAAAAGGCAUCAGAUAGAUUCUAGGUGCGUAACAAAGCUAAACUUUUAUAAGAUUCUGCUUAGAAACUUUCAAUGAAUUCCCUCUCUUGGGAAGGCCCAGCAGAAAAAGUCUGUUUCUGCCACGUUGGUGUACUUUCCUGGGGCCACGAGGAAAAUCAUUCUAACCAAGCCUCUGAGUACCUGGGCAAUAAUGUGAGGCACAUUUCCCUGGCUGGAGUGUCACCAUAGCAACCAUAGAGACAGCGGGAUGCUCAGCCUGGGCAUGUGUUUCUUCUACAAGGAAGUCAUGAGCCCAAUGUACUGUUGCCUAGACAGGAAAGCUUUCCUCUGGGGGCUGUGGGGAGGAUUCUGUUGCGGUUCUUCCUUUUGCUUAGGCAUGUGGUAGCCCUGAAUUUGAAUCUUCAUCUCAGCUCUCCCCAAGCCAUUCCAGCCACCGUUGAAGCCUUUACUCUCCACAAAACCAGCCUUGAAGACAACAGGUUCCUAAAAGGAUUCCCAGUGUGCUUAGGCAUCCAGCCAUCUGCCUUACAAGGGUAUUGUUGGAGGGACUGUCUGUCUUCCCGUGCUUGGAGCAGAGGCAGGGGGCGGGGGUUAAGACAUCAAAUGGAAAGGUUUCAUGUGUAGGGUUUAGAGCUCAUGAAAUGGUGAUAAUAGAGGAAGAUGGGAGGAAAGAAGAACGCAGGCAUAAACAAGUUUUUCCACUGCUUGCUAAAUCAAUUCUUCUUUGGCCACCUUGACUCCAGUCCUUACCCUAAGAACUGACUUAGCUAGAGAGGCAUUCCCUCUCAGGAUGUGAAAACCUCCAGCCUGGACUGUAAGGUGCCUUCAAGUCCAUGGCGUAUUCGGACGGAAGAGCCUUACUUCAUCGUAAUUGCAGAUUUCCAGAAAAAUGAAGUAAAAUCAUCUAUAGAAGCAGGCAUCAUCCGGGCCAAUUCUGUGCAUGUGACUGAACAAAUUGCCUUUCAUGUCUGUUGUACAUUUUGCUAUGAUUUUACUUUUCUGAGACAUUCGUUUUCUCCUGUCUUGAACAUG
rnacentral:lncRNA from 1 species